AUCUCGGGCCACCCGCGGGGCGGGCGACGAUAUCGUCCUUGUGGGCAGGCUGGCUGGCGUGUCGGGUUUCGGGGAGUAUGGCGGGGAACCGGAGUAGAGGAAUGUAAGCGUUUGAAAGCAGAAUGCCUUUGCUUCCAUGAUCUGAUCAGAGAUUAUGAAGAUACAGUUCCUCCCUUUGGUUUGCAUACAGUUAAGUUGAGCAGAUACAGGUCAAUGGUCAGUGUGCCACUUAAGUAUUCAAGAAGAGAUAUAUCAGCAGGUUGCAGCUGAACAUGGCCUUGAGGUAAAUCCUGCCCCUGUUGAAAUUUGAUUUCAGCAGAUUAUUCAUGGUAAUUUAGGAACUGGAAUAUUUUACAGAAAAAAAAAAAAGUUUCGUUUGGUUCUGUUCUAUUUUUUCUUCUCCUAGAAGAACCAUGUUUAAACAAAACUUCACUAUGCUGAAGAACUGUGAUGCUUUAAGUUGGUCAUCUGCCUCAUUUUAAACCCCCGCUCCCUCUCCCGAUGCGCUGAAAGUGCCAGGUUUAUGUGUAGGCCGCUGCGGGACGUGAAGUGCGUAGUGGAGCGUUCCAUUUUGCCCAGUCUUGCCAUCAAGCCGCAGGUGCCCUUCUGUUCCUUCAGACUGCCUCCCCUCCAGGUUUUCUCCGUCUCCCUGCCGUACGUCCUUUGCUGUGGUUUGGAAAGAGCCCCACCGUCCCUCGCACGGAGAGCAGAGAGCCCGACAAUGGUGGUUGGAUGAGGAAGAUAACUAAUUUAUUCAGUAUUUGGUGUGUACCGUUUGUUACACGUUAGUCCUUAGGGACCGAAUGAUGAACAAGACAGACACUGUCCCUGCCUUCAUGGAAGGGCGCACGGUAGAGGUCAUUUCAAAGUUUGGGGUAAGUUCUGUGAACGAGGGGAACAGGUGUGACAGCGUGCUCAGUGCCAGAAACCGCAUCACAGUGCCAUUAACUCCCGGGAAAACAGAAGGCGCGUGGCUUCCCUGGUUCUCUGUGGACAGCCUCUUGCCUUCUGGAGUCUGUUCCUGGCUGACUCGCAAGAUGUCCCGGGUGUGCCACGGCCACUAGUACUUAUGUAUCUCUUCCCUCCCUUGCCCCUGCCCCCACGCUCUAUAGGCCUUGGACUUUCAGAUACUUUGCAUAUAAACAAACAGACCGAUACAGUUUGACCACCUGAAA